GGGCCUAUGGUCUAGUGGUAUGACACGUCAUUCGCAUUGACGAGACGCGAGUUCGAUUCUCGCUAGGUCCACCA
rnacentral:tRNA from 1 species